UGGGGAGGCACCCCCAGAACACAACGGAGCGGGGCAAUCACACCCUAUAACCAGUUCUCCCCUCUGUGCAUUGCAGAAACUGCAGAGAUCCAGAGUUCAGUGGAGAUGCCAUGGGAGCUGAACUCUGUUUGCAGGCCCACCUUAGGGUAGAUGCUGUCUGCAAGGGCCCUGCCUCCUCUUGGGUUAUCAUCUUCCUCUGCUUCCUGGCUGCAGACCAAAGAAAACCCCAGGCACAGAAAAGUCCUGUGGGCAUGUGGCCUACAGUCAGACAGCUGCUGUUCAGGAUUUUUAAUAUAUUCACCACUCUCAGGACAAAAUCUUGAAAAGGGAAAGGUUUUUCUGAGUUUCCAUUAAAAUCUCUGAUGUGUACAACAGGGACACCAAAUAUUAUUUACUUUUGCUUUUUUUGUUGUUUUGUUUUGUUUCAGUGAUGCAUUUAGUUUCAUUUAAAGGAGAGAAGUGAAAGUGAAAAGUAAAAAAAAAAAAAGUACCGUGUUAGAUAAUUUCUCCAUUUAAAUCUUGAAAAGGCUUUGACAUCAGCUGGAGAAUGGAGGGGUGGGUAGAACCCCUUCCCAGGACUACUGCUUGCUGGAAUCAAUUUCAAUUUUCUGGAAGACUGGUUUCAUACUGCCGUAUCACAUCAGAUUACAUUCUGAUUAUUAUAUCUUUUUGACAUUAAGAGAAAAGAGUAUUUUGCUAAUAUUUUUUGCAUAAUUUACAAAAAUAUAACUGAAUUCAACAGGCUUAUUGCUGAAAACCAUAAAACCACAAGAAGUAGGAAUGUGUUCAUAAGUGUAUUUCAAUGUGACAGCCAAAGCUUUGCCAGCUUUCUCAAAGCUAUUCAUGUGCUUAUUGGUCAGGUUAGAGCUAAUUGGCCUCUUCAAAAAUCAAAAAAGAGGUAACCACUGAAGAGAAAACCUCUUUUUUAGCUUUUAGCUUUAUCUCUAGGCUAGAAAAUACCAUUAAAAUUCCCAGCCAUCACUACUGGCUUAUGAAGCCAUGUUAAAGUAAAUAGGAACAUAUCUUUUUAAUUCUACAGUCUUCAAAAAAACUAAAAGAAAUCUCAAAAGGUUUUGACCUCAAUGCAAAACAAACAAACAAAAAAAGUUUUAAGCUGAAACUGAUGGACAUUUCUGC
rnacentral:lncRNA from 1 species